ACAACUUUCAACAACGGAUCUCUUGGCUCUCGCAUCGAUGUAGAACGCAGCGAAAUGCGAUACGUAAUGUGAAUUGCAGAAUUCAGUGAAUCAUCGAAUCUUUGAACGCACCUUGCGCCCCUUGGCAUUCCGAGGGGCACACCCGUUUGAGUGUCGUG
rnacentral:rRNA from 1 species